UACAGAGGGUGCGAGCGUUGUUCGGAAUUAUUGGGCGUAAAGGGCGCGUAGGCGGUGCGGUAAGUCACCUGUGAAAUCUCCUGGCUCAACUGGGAGUCUGCAGGCGAAACUGCCGUGCUGGAGUAUGGGAGAGGUGCGUGGAAUUCCUGGUGUAGCGGUGAAAUGCGUAGAUAUCAGGAGGAACACCUGCGGUGUAGACGGCUUUCUGGACCAUUGCUGACGCUGAGACACGAAAGCGUGGGUAGCAAACAGG
rnacentral:rRNA from 1 species